rnacentral:rRNA from 1 species
UGAAAUACCACCCUUUAAUGUUUGAUGUUCUAACGUGGACCCGUGAUCCGGGUUGCGGACAGUGUCUGGUGGGUAGUUUGACUGGGGCGGUCUCCUCCUAAAGAGUAACGGAGGAGCACGAAGGUUGGCUAAUCCUGGUCGGACAUCAGGAGGUUAGUGCAAUGGCAUAAGCCAGCUUGACUGCGAGCGUGACGGCGCGAGCAGGUGCGAAAGCAGGUCAUAGUGAUCCGGUGGUUCUGAAUGGAAGGGCCAUCGCUCAACGGAUAAAAGGUACUCCGGGGAUAACAGGCUGAUACCGCCCAAGAGUUCAUAUCGACGGCGGUGUUUGGCACCUCGAUGUCGGCUCAUCACAUCCUGGGGCUGAAGUAGGUCCCAAGGGUAUGGCUGUUCGCCAUUUAAAGUGGUACGCGAGCUGGGUUUAGAACGUCGUGAGACAGUUCGGUCCCUAUCUGCCGUGGGCGCUGGAGAACUGAGGGGGGCUGCUCCUAGUACGAGAGGACCGGAGUGGACGCAUCACUGGUGUUCGGGUUGUCAUGCCAAUGGCACUGCCCGGUAGCUAAAUGCGGAAGAGAUAAGUGCUGAAAGCAUCUAAGCACGAAACUUGCCCCGAGAUGAGUUCUCCCUGACCCUUUAAGGGUCCUGAAGGAACGUUGAAGACGACGACGUUGAUAGGCCGGGUGUGUAAGCGCAGCGAUGCGUUGAGCUAACCGGUACUAAUGAACCGUGAGGCUUAACCUU